CCUACGGGCGGCAGCAGUGAGGAAUAUUGGUCAAUGGACGAGAGUCUGAACCAGCCAAGUAGCGUGAAGGAUGACUGCCCUAUGGGUUGUAAACUUCUUUUAUAAAGGAAUAAAACGAGGCACGUGUGCCUUUUUGCAUGUACUUUAUGAAUAAGGAUCGGCUAACUCCGUGCCAGCAGCCGCGGUAAUACGGAGGAUCCGAGCGUUAUCCGGAUUUAUUGGGUUUAAAGGGAGCGUAGAUGGGUUGUUAAGUCAGUUGUGAAAGUUUGCGGCUCAACCGUAAAAUUGCAAUUGAUACUGGCAGUCUUGAGUACAGUUGAGGUAAGCGGAAUUCGUGGUGUAGCGGUGAAAUGCUUAGAUAUCACGAAGAACCCCGAUUGCGAAGGCAGCUUACCAAACUGUGACUGACAUUGAUGCUCGAAAGUGUGGGUAUCAAACAGGAUUAGAUACCCCAGUAGUC
rnacentral:rRNA from 1 species